GAUGAACGCUGGCGGCGUGCCUAAUACAUGCAAGUCGAGCGAACAGACGAGGAGCUUGCUCCUCUGACGUUAGCGGCGGACGGGUGAGUAACACGUGGAUAACCUACCUAUAAGACUGGGAUAACUUCGGGAAACCGGAGCUAAUACCGGAUAAUAUAUUUAACCGCAUGGUUCAAUAGUGAAAGACGGUUUUGCUGUCACUUAUAGAUGGAUCCGCUCCGCAUUAGCUAGUUGGUAAGGUAACGGCUUACCAAGGCAACGAUGCGUAGCCGACCUGAGAGGGUGAUCGGCCACACUGGAACGGGGACACGGUCCAGACUCCUACGGGAGGCAGCAGUAGGGAAUCUUGCGCAAUGGGCGAAAGCCGGACGGAGCAACGCCGCGUGGGUGAUGAAGUUCUUCGGAUCUUAAAACUCUGUUGUUAGGGAAGAACAAAUGUGUAAGUAACUAUGCACGUCUUGACGGUACCUAAUCAGAAAGCCACGGCUAACUACGUG
rnacentral:rRNA from 1 species